AGAGUUUGAUCAUGGCUCAGAUUGAACGCUGGCGGAAUGCUUUACACAUGCAAGUCGAACGGCAGCACGGGGCAACCUGGUGGCGAGUGGCGAACGGGUGAGUAGUACAUCGGAACGUGCCCAGUCGUGGGGGAUAACGCAGCGAAAGCUGUGCUAAUACCGCAUACGAUCUACGGAUGAAAGCGGGGGACCGUAAGGCCUCGCGCGAUUGGAGCGGCCGAUGGCAGAUUAGGUAGUUGGUGGGGUAAAGGCUCACCAAGCCGACGAUCUGUAGCUGGUCUGAGAGGACGACCAGCCACACUGGGACUGAGACACGGCCCAGACUCCUACGGGAGGCAGCAGUGGGGAAUUUUGGACAAUGGGCGCAAGCCUGAUCCAGCCAUUCCGCGUGCAGGAUGAAGGCCCUCGGGUUGUAAACUGCUUUUGUACGGAACGAAAAGCCUUCUUCUAAUACAGGAGGGUCAUGACGGUACCGUAAGAAUAAGCACCGGCUAACUACGUGCCAGCAGCCGCGGUAAUACGUAGGGUGCAAGCGUUAAUCGGAAUUACUGGGCGUAAAGCGUGCGCAGGCGGUGAUGUAAGACAGAUGUGAAAUCCCCGGGCUCAACCUGGGAACUGCAUUUGUGACUGCAUCGCUGGAGUGCGGCAGAGGGGGAUGGAAUUCCGCGUGUAGCAGUGAAAUGCGUAGAUAUGCGGAGGAACACCGAUGGCGAAGGCAAUCCCCUGGGCCUGCACUGACGCUCAUGCACGAAAGCGUGGGGAGCAAACAGGAUUAGAUACCCUGGUAGUCCACGCCCUAAACGAUGUCAACUGGUUGUUGGGUCUUCACUGACUCAGUAACGAAGCUAACGCGUGAAGUUGACCGCCUGGGGAGUACGGCCGCAAGGGUUGAAACUCAAGGAAUUGACGG
rnacentral:rRNA from 1 species